rnacentral:rRNA from 1 species
UGGGGAAUUUUCCGCAACGGGCGAAAGCCUGACGGAGCAAUGCCGCGUGGAGGUGGAAGGCCUACGGGUCGUCAACUUCUUUUCUCGGAGAAGAAACAAUGACGGUAUCUGAGGAAUAAGCAUCGGCUAACUCUGUGCUAG